rnacentral:rRNA from 1 species
CGGCGGACGGGUGAGUAACGCGUGGGUAACCUGCCUCAUACAGGGGGAUAACAGUUGGAAACGGCUGCUAAUACCGCAUAAGCGCACAGUACCGCAUGGUACGGUGUAGAAAAACUCCGGUGGUAUGAGAUGGACCCGCGUCUGAUUAGGUAGUUGGUGGGGUAACGGCCUACCAAGCCGACGAUCAGUAGCCGACCUGAGAGGGUGACCGGCCACAUUGGGACUGAGACACGGCCCAA